UCAGGAGUGGGGGGGUCACUCAGCCCAGAUUGUGAGAGAGCGCAGGCCAGGCUGAGGGACCCCACCGGUGCACA
rfam:Myotis brandtii contig259964, whole genome shotgun sequence.